GAAUGAUUGGACAAGANAAGUACUGUCUUUGUCAUGAAACUNNAAUUNNNNNNNNNNNGAAAAGGCUUAAAUAUACUAGAGGGACGAUAAGACCCUAUAAAACUUUACAUUUAUAUUAAAUUUUAUGGAAUUUGAAGAUUAUAAUUAUUAAAUUUAAUUUUUUGUUAUGUUGGGGAGACAAAAGCUAUAAUUAUGUAUAACUGCUUUUUAAGGGAAACAAAAAUAAAUGGAGAAAUUAAAGAUCCUUUAUUGAGAUUGUAAGAUUAAGUUACUUUAGGGAUAACAGCGUUAUUUUUUUUGAGAGUUCAUAUUGAAAAAAGAGAUUGCGACCUCGAUGUUGAAUUAAAAUAUCUUU
rnacentral:rRNA from 1 species